rnacentral:rRNA from 1 species
AUUGAACGCUGGCGGCAGGCUUAACACAUGCAAGUCGAACGAGUGGCGGACGGGUGAGUAAUGCCUGGGAAACUACCUGAUGGAGGGGGAUAACUACUGGAAACGGUAGCUAAUACCGCAUACCAUAGGAUGAGCCCAAGUGGGAUUAGGUAGUUGGUGGGGUAAAGGAUCACCAAGCCGACGAUCCCUAGCUGGUCUGAGAGGAUGACCAGCAACACUGGGACUGAGACACGGUCCAGACUCCUACGGGAGGCAGCAGUGGGGAAUAUUGCGCAAGGGGGGCAACCCUGAUGCAGCCAUGCCGCGUGAAUGAAGAAGGCCUUCGGGUUGUAAAGUUCUUUCGGUAGCGAGGCGUUACCCGCAGAAGAAGCACCGGCUAACUCCGUGCCAGCAGCCGCGGUAAUAC